rnacentral:rRNA from 1 species
CGUUAUCCGGAUUUAUUGGGCGUACAGGGUGCGUAGGCGGUUGUGUAAGUUUGAGGUUAAAUCCCGGAGCUCAACUCCGGUCCGCCUUGAAAACUACAUGACUAGAAUGCAAGAGAGGUAAACGGAAUUCCAUGUGUAGCGGUAAAAUGCGUAGAUAUAUGGAAGAACACCUGUGGCGAAAGCGGUUUACCAGCUUGUUAUUGACGCUGAGGCACGAAAGCGUGGGGAGCAAAUAGGAUUAGAUACCCUAGUAGUCCACGCCGUAAACGUUGAGUACUAGGUGUCGGGAAUUAUCUCGGCGCCGCAGCUAACGCAUUAAGUACUCCGCCUGAGUAGUAUGCACGCAAGUGUGAAACUCAAAGGAAUUGACGGGGACCCGCACAAGUGGUGGAGCAUGUGGUUUAAUUCGAAGCAACACGAAGAACCUUACCAGGGCUUGACAUCCAGUGCAAAGGCAUAGAGAUAUGCUGGAGGCUAACAUUGAGACAGGUGGUGCAUGGUUGUCGUCAGUUCGUGCCGUGAGGUGUUUGGUUAAGUCCAGCAACGAACGCAACCCUUGUCAUUAGUUACUAACAUUUAGUUGAGGACUCUAAUGAGACUGCUAGUGUAAGCUAGAGGAAGGUGGGGAUGACGUCAAAUCAUCAUGCCCCUUAUGUCCUGGGCUACACACGUGCUACAAUGGCUGAUACAAAGAGUCGCAAUCUCGCAAGGAGGAGCUAAUCUCAUAAAAUCAGUCUCAGUUCGGAUUGAAGGCUGCAACUCGCCUUCAUGAAGCCGGAAUCACUAGUAAUCGCGAAUCAGCUAUGUCGCGGUGAAUACGUUCUCGGGUCUUGUACACACCGCCCGUCACACCAUGAGAGUUNGUAACACCAGAAGCAGGUAGCUUAACCGCAAGGA